GCGCCGUUGGUGUAGUGGUAUCAUGUAAGAUUCCCAUUCUGACGUCCCGGAUUCAUUCCCGGACGGCGCA